GUUGUUUAUGUAAGAAUUUCAAGGCCACAACUCCAUAUUUGAAGUAAAGUGCUCAUAAAAUUAAUUGCAAGACUUCUGAAGAGAGAUUUGCUAGGAAAAAUAAAAAGAUAUAUAAAUUUCAGUGAUGCUGAAGGAGAGGAAGGAUGUGAUGUCUUUCCCCAUCCGUCAUAAGGGUCAUGGCCAACACUCCUAUAACAAAAGGUUUUGAGAAGCCAUCUGCAGCUCACAACUAGAUGAGUGACACAAUCAGAUGUGCGUAUGCAAAAAAAAGCCUGGAGACAUUGAACUAAGAUCAAAUUUAAUGUAUUAAAUAUGGUAGAAAGAAGAGAGAAUGAAAAAUAAUGUUAACAAUCUAGGUGAGGAAUUGCUGAGGAGACAAAUUAAGUAAAUCCUGUGGAAGGAAAGAAGAAAGGAGGAAAGAGGAUUGGAUGGAAGAAUCUCCACUUCUCAUAGGUGUAGUCCUUCCUUAGCCUGCUUUUUAAUGAGUGCUGCUAAAGCCCUUAGCCUGCCUGUUUACCCUUGGAGUGGAGCAAUGAACUGAAGAUAUUUGAGUGAGUUCAAGAGAGACUCAGAAGAGAAGAAUUGGAGGCAGCAAACAUAGACAGCACUUUUAAUGCUUUUCUCAUAUGCUGUAAGACAUGAAAGCAAUCUAUUGGGAUGAAAGCUGAAAGGAGAAGCGGGACAAGAGAAGUGAAUCCGUGGAAGACCCCCAAAAGAGGCUGCAGAUUCUUAGUGGACAGCUCUCAUAUCCCCUCCAGGGAAAAUGAUGAAAAAUGUCUUCAGAAAAAUAGCUUUAUGAAGGCAAGAGGACUUUUUGCACCUGCAAGACAUGUCUGAAAGCUCCUCAGGUCAAAACACAAGUAGUCAAGAGAUUUGUCCAUCUAAUUCAUCAUACUACUCUGAUCCAAGUGAGACCCACACUGGGUCAGCUCCAUCAAGGAGAAGAACAUUCCACCCACGUUUGGAUUCUGGAAUAUCAUCCUUGCUUCCAUCAGAUUCUUGUAAGUACCUCACUUGGCACAAGGUAGACAUGACGUUCAAGGAAGUCAACUGCGUUGCCCAAGAGUAAGAGAAGGAAUCUCUGAAGAAGAGCAACUUUUCAGACAGGUAGAGUGUGCCUUGCUCCCAAGGAAAAGAGUUCUUGAAAAAAACAAAUGGGAAACAUGGCUACAAGAAAACUGGGAAGACUGCAAGAAAAUCUCAGAAUCUGCUUGAGAAUCCGGUCCUUCUUCCUCCAUACACCCAUGGAACACUCCCAAACUCUGUAUGCUGCUCACUAAUUCUGAUUAAGGUCUUCACCCUCCCUACCUUGGAAAUUGCUACAACAUAAUUGUGUUUGUAUGUAUAAUUAAUAUAUACAAUACAUUUUAAAUGAAUAACUAAAGUUGACAAAAACCUCACUUUUUUCUUUUAUUUGUUUUUCCUCAGAAUUUGAACAUUUCAUUUCAGGGUUUGGGGGAUCCUUACCAAGUUGAAAAUUUUAACAGAAUUCUUAGAAGACUAAUUCGAGUUGAAACCCUCUGGUUAGUGGAUAAUUCACUGGUGGACUUAAGUGCCAUAAGAUUGCCAAGGUAUCUGCUCUGUAGCAUGUCUAGUGAACAGGUUAAAGUUAAGUCUUUUCUAUUUGGAUACAUGUGAUCAUUGGCUGUACAUACUGCACCUGGCCCCCUGUGGUCAGGUCUUAAAGAUGACACUUUGCACUAAAGUGGCACAUACGGCAAGGCCAAAAGAGAAAUUUAUAUAUCAGAAUGUCAUACUUUAGAGGGAAACAUCUAUUUUUAAAAUUAAUAUUUUAUUACCAAUUUUUAGGAAAGUUAUUUGUAUGAGCAGAAAAGUUUGCCAUUUUCCUUGUGUUAUAAACUAGAAAAUGCAAUUACCUGACAUAUACAUUAUGGUUUAAGAAAUUAAUUUUUAGUUAGUCAUAUUUACUGAACACCUAUGGGGAAAGACUUUACAAGGUAGUUGACAGUAGUAACCUUUAGGGUAACAUUCUGUUAUUGGAGUGGAGGCUGGUUAUCAGAUUAAAGACAGAAAUAAACUAAAAAUAAAAUAUA
ensembl:lncRNA LRRC77P leucine rich repeat containing 77, pseudogene